rnacentral:rRNA from 1 species
UACGGAGGAGGCAAGCGUUAUCCGGAAUUAUUGGGCGUAAAGCGUCCGUAGGUGGCUCUUCAAGUCUGCUGUCAAAGAGUGGGGCUUAACCCUGUAAAGGCAGUGGAAACUACAAGACUAGAGUGCGGUAGGGGCAGAGGGAAUUCCCAGUGUAGCGGUGAAAUGCGUAGAGAUUGGGAAGAACAUCCGUGGCGAAAGCGCUCUGCUGGACUGCAACUGACAUUGAGGGACGAAAGCUAGGGGAGCGAAUGGG